CGACGCUGGCGGCGUGCCUAAUACAUGCAAGUAGAACGCUGAAGAGAGGAGCUUGCUCUUCUUGGAUGAGUUGCGAACGGGUGAGUAACGCGUAGGUAACCUGCCUGGUAGCGGGGGAUAACUAUUGGAAACGAUAGCUAAUACCGCAUAAAAUUGAUUAUUGCAUGAUAAUUAAUUGAAAGAUGCAACUGCAUCACUACCAGAUGGACCUGCGUUGUAUUAGCUAGUUGGUGAGGUAACGGCUCACCAAGGCGACGAUACAUAGCCGACCUGAGAGGGUGAUCGGCCACACUGGGACUGAGACACGGCCCAGACUCCUACGGGAGGCAGCAGUAGGGAAUCUUCGGCAAUGGGGGAACCCUGACCGAGCAACGCCGCGUGAGUGAAGAAGGUUUUCGGAUCGUAAAGCUCUGUUGUAAGAGAAGAACGGGUGUGAGAGUGGAAAGUUCACACUGUGACGGUAUCUUACCAGAAAGGGACGGCUAACUACGUG
rnacentral:rRNA from 1 species